rnacentral:rRNA from 1 species
CACGAAAGUUCUUCUGUUUUAAAAAAACACUCAAGGAAAUUGAAUUUGUAGUGAAGAUGCUACAUUAAAGUGGUUAGACGAGAAGUCCCCAUGGAGCUUUACUGAAAGCUUAAAAAAAAAGUUUUUUAUUUAUUUAUAGGCUAGACAGUUUUGUUGGGGUGAUAGUUUUUUAAAAAGUAACGAAAACGAACUAUGACGCAUGUUUCACUCUGAAAACUUGAAGAGACAUUUGGGGUGUGUUUUAUGAUCUAUUGUUUUGAAUGAAAAAGAUAAUGAAAGCAGAUAAAAGUUACCCCUGGGGAA